rnacentral:lncRNA from 1 species
UCGAUUAGGCUCAUAAUAAUCUUUAUCUAUCAAUUGCUUCCUUAGCAAAAGUUCCUUCAAAAGCUGUUUUGUUUUGGAGCUCUUUGCUGCAAAUGCAUUAUUAUGGCUUUGAUUUGUGCUUGAGAAUGUGGAAGGUGGUAGAAGACGAGCUUCUUGGCAGAUGAGAAUCGACGUGAAGAGAAGGACAAGGUAUAAUGUUCUCAAACAUGCCAUAAUGAUAAAAGUAAACAAACCCAACCAAAGUUUUAUGGGAAGAAACUAAAGAAGUGAUAGUGAAUAUAUAAAGAGGCCCC